CAUGCAGAAAUGCAUGUUCUCUUCGGAGCACUGGAGACAGGUGGUGCAUGGUUGUCGUCAGCUCGUGUCGUGAGAUGUUGGGUUAAGUCCCGCAACGAGCGCAACCCUUAUCCUUAGUAGCCAGCAGGGAAAGCUGGGCACUCUAGGGAGACUGCCAGGGAUAACCUGGAGGAAGGUGGGGAUGACGUCAAAUCAUCAUGCCCCUUAUGAUUUGGGCUACACACGUGCUACAAUGGCGUAAACAAAGGGAAGCGAAGUGGCGACAUGGAGCGAACCCCAAAAAUAACGUCUCAGUUCGGAUUGCAGGCUGCAACCCGCCUGCAUGAAGCCGGAAUCGCUAGUAAUCGCAGAUCAGAAUGCUGCGGUGAAUACGUUCCCGGGUCUUGUACACACCGCCCGUCACACCAUGGGAGCCGAUAACGCCCGAAGUCAGUGACCCAACCGAAAGGAGGGAGCUGCCGAAGGCGGGAUGGAUAACUGGGGUGAAGUCGUAACAAGGUAGCCGUAUCGGAAGG
rnacentral:rRNA from 1 species